rnacentral:rRNA from 1 species
AUUCAGUGAAUCAUCGAAUCUUUGAACGCACAUUGCGCCCCUUGGUAUUCCGAGGGGCAUGCCUGUUCGAGCGUCAUU